rnacentral:tRNA from 1 species
ACCUGGGUGGCUCAGUCGGUUGAGUGCCUGACUUUGGCUCAGGUCAUGAUCUCACAGUUUGCGAGUUGGAGCCCCGCAUCAGGCU